rnacentral:rRNA from 1 species
CAGUCGCCGCGGGAAUACGGAGGGUGCAAGCGUUAAUCGGAAUUACUGGGCGUGAAGCGUGCGUAGGCGGUUCGUUAAGUCUGUUGUGAAAGCCCCGGGCUCAACCUGGGAAUGGCAAUGGAUACUGGCGAGCUAGAGUGUGUCAGAGGAUGGUGGAAUUCCCGGUGUAGCGGUGAAAUGCGUAGAGAUCGGGAGGAACAUCAGUGGCGAAGGCGGCCAUCUGGGACAACACUGACGCUGAGGCACGAAAGCGUGGGGAGCAAACAGGAUUAGAUACCCGAGUAGUCCCUGUCUCUUAUAC